rnacentral:lncRNA from 1 species
GUCCAGCCGUCAGGUCUUAGCCGUGGCUCUCGGGGGAGCUGGUUACGCGACGUGAAAAUGGCUCGCGCUGUCGUCGCGAUUCGCUGAAAUCAGACAACACCAUAAACUCAGGAUGGAGAGGGACUGGAAGCAGUGAUGGUACGACAUCAAGAGACCAGACCUUGUGCCCAAACUGCAUCCCAAAACCCACUUACAGCAAUUAAACUUGAAUACUGAGGGGGUUUGUUUGUUUAUUUGUUUGUUUUGAAACAGGGUCUCUCUUUGUAGUGCAUGCUGGCCUUGAAUGCAUGGCAAUCCUCCUGCCUCAGACUCCCAGGUGCCAG